CUCAUUUGAUCUAGUUGUUUAAAAGUGUGUGGCUUUUUUAACACUUUUUGGUUAAAGUGUUAAACCACCCCACCUUCCUCCUACUCCAGCCACGUGAACAUGCCUGUUUCCCCUUCACCUUCCACGGUGGUUAUAAGAUUCCUGAGGCCUCCCCAGAAGCAGAAGCUGCUAUGCCUCCUAUACAGCCUGCAGAACUACAUUGGAAAACUCCAGUUGAGCUUUCUCUUCACACAUGCCCUCUUCGCCUUUGACCUUCUAUGUCAACAUUUUGACUUAGCACAAAAGCUCUCACCAGAAGCCUAGCAGAUGACAGCACCAUGCUUCUUGUACAACCUGUAGAACCAUGAGCUAAAUAAACCUCUUUUCCUUGUAAA